GGUCGUGUCAUUGAAGAACUCCGACAUGAUGGCCUCCAUGCCUGAGGGGGGCAGCAGAGAGAAGGUCAUGCUGGGGGCAGAGGUCAGAGUGCUGGGGUCAGAGGUCGGAGUGCUGGGGUCAGAGUGCUGGGAUCAGAGGUCAGAGUGCUGGGGUCAGAGGUCAUCUUGGAGGUGGUGGUCUUACCAACGAGGGCCAGGAUGACGGUGAGCAGAGGAGCCGCGGGGAAGGCGAUGGUCAUGUUCAUCUCCAACAUCUGGAGCAGGUCCACUGGGGGCAGAGGGGGCCGGUCAACAGCAGGUUAGCACCUCUCAACUAACGCUAGUAACUAGUAGAAUGGUUUACAGCUGUUAACCAGGUCCACUGGGGGCAGGUCAACACCUGGUUAGCACCUCUAAACUAAUGCUAGUAACUAGUAGAAUGGUUUACAGCUGUUAACCAGGUCAACACCUGGUUAACGCCUCUAAACUAAUAGUAGUUAAUGUAGUAGACUAGUUGAGAGGUGUUAACUAGGUUAACACCUCAACUAGGACACUAGUUA